GUGGAGGGGUAUGUCUUGUCUUGUCUAUGUGUAUCCUACCAGUCUAGGGGUGGAGGGGUAUGUCUUGUCUAUGUGUAUCCUACCAGUCUAGGGGUGGAGGGGUAUGUCUUGUCUAUGUGUAUCCUACCAGUCUAGGGGUGGAGGGGUAUGUCUUGUCUAUGUGUAUCCUAACAGUCUAAGGGUGGAGGGGUAUGUCUUGUCUAUGUGUAUCCUACCAGUCUAGGGGUGGAGGGGUAUGUCUUGUCUAUGUGUAUCCUACCAGUCUAGGGGUGGAGGGGUAUGUCUUGUCUAUGUGUAUCCUACCAGUCUAGGGGUGGAGGGGUAUGUCUUGUCUUGUCUAUGUGUAUCCUACCAGUCUAGGGGUGGAGGGGUAUGUCUUGUCUUGUCUAUGUGUAUCCUACCAGUCUAGGGGUGGAGGGGUAUGUCUUGUCUAUGUGUAUCCUACCAGUCUAGGGGUGGAGGGGUAUGUCUUGUCUUGUCUAUGUGUAUCCUACCAGUCUAGGAGUGGAGGGGUAUGUCUUGUCUAUGUGUAUCCUACCAGUCUAGGGGUGGAGGGGUAUGUCUUGUCUAUGUGUAUCCUACCAGUCUAGGGGUGGAGGGGUAUGUCUUGUCUAUGUGUAUCCUACCAGUCUAGGGGUGGAGGGGUAUGUCUUGUCUAUGUGUAUCCCACCAGUCUAAGGGUGGAGGGGUAUGUCUUGUCUAUGUGUAUCCUACCAGUCUAAGGGUGGAGGGGUAUGUCUUGUCUAUGUGUAUCCCACCAGUCUAGGGGUGGAGGGGUAUGUCUUGUCUAUGUGUAUCCUACCAGUCUAGGGGUGGAGGGGUAUG